rnacentral:rRNA from 1 species
UACGAGGGGGGCGAGCGUUGUUCGGAAUUAUUGGGCGUAAAGGGUGCGUAGGCGGUUCCGCAAGUCCUGUGUGAAAUCUUCGGGCUCAACUCGAAGUCUGCACGGGAAACUGCAGAGCUUGAGUGUGGGAGAGGAUCGUGGAAUUCCUGGUGUAGUGGUGAAAUACGUAGAUAUCAGGAGGAACACCGGUGGCGAAGGCGGCGAUCUGGCCCAACACUGACACUGAGACCCAAAAGCGUGGGGAUCAAACAGG